rnacentral:tRNA from 2 species
GGGGGUGUAGCUCAGUUGGCUAGAGCGUAUGAAUGGCAUUCAUAAGGUCGAGGGUUCAAUUCCCUCCACCUCCACGA